CAUGACGGCCAUGACAGCCAAGACCGCCACGACCAUGUAGUGUCCGAAGUUAGCCUGGUACUAUUUCGGUCGUCGUGUAAUAACUAGCAAUUUUACAAAAUACUAAUGAAUUUAGGACAUUAAAUUAUUUUUGUGAUGUUCAGUAUGCGGUUCAUGGUUUAAAAUAACCAUCAAUGAUGUGAUCGUUGGAUUGCCAUGCGUAAGAAUCAAUUUAUUGGCUUCGCUUUUGUAUCUGUUUGCUUGUGGGCUCUUGUGACAUACUACCUCUUUCUGGACCGACCACUCAACCAUAAACCUGAUCAGCAGAAGCAAAUCCAGAUACAGGAACACCUCAGUCUGUUGGAGUUGAAGCUGAACGAACAGUUUUUGGAUGGUGAGAAACUGCUGCAGCAACUCAGGAACAUUGUCAAGGAGCAGCAGUUGUCUGUGAGAGUUAAUGAGGCUGGAGCUGAGGGGAGAGGUGUAGGUGAAGAGCAGCAGCUGGAGAAGCAGCAGGGAGAGAAGGAGGAUGAGCAGGUUAAUCGAAUGCGAUCGCUUGCUGAGGAGGUUCUGCCUGAUGGGGGGCCUGUGAUUGCUGUGCUAGUGUUUGCAUGCAACCGAAUCACUGUCAACAAGUGUAUUGAUCAGCUGCUCAAGUAUCGUCCUGCGCGUGAGCGAUUUCCUAUCAUUGUGAGUCAAGACUGUGGCCACCGCCCCACAGCAGAUGUCAUCGAAUUGUAUGGUGAUGAGAUAACUCGCAUUGAGCAACCAGACCAGAGUGACAUUCCAGUGCCACCAAAGGAGAAGAAGUUCAAAGGUUACUUCAAAAUUGCAAGGCACUAUGGCUGGGCCCUCAACUAUACAUUCUUCAAAUUCAAUUUUGACACUGUCAUCAUCGUUGAAGACGAUCUUGACAUUGCACCAGACUUCUUUGAGUACUUCUUGGGAACAUAUCCCAUCUUAAAGCGGGACCCCACGCUGUGGUGUGUGUCUGCGUGGAAUGACAAUGGGAAGGCUGGUCUAGUGGAUGAAAAUGCUCCUGACCUCCUCUACCGUACUGACUUCUUUCCGGGGCUUGGAUGGAUGCUUACAAAAUCUGUCUGGGCAGAAUUGGCCCCAAAGUGGCCCUCCUCCUACUGGGAUGACUGGGUGAGGCAGCCUGAACAGAGACGAAACCGGGCCUGUAUUCGUCCUGAGAUAUCCAGGACAAGAACAUUUGGCAAGAUAGGGGUCAGCAAUGGCCACUUCUAUGAGAAGCAUCUGAAGUACAUAAAACUUAAUGAAAAGUUUGUGCCUUUUACUCAGAAGAACUUAACAUACCUUUUGAAGGAUAAUUAUGACGUCCAGUUUGUGAAGCAAGUAUAUGAAAGCCUGGUGGUGACAUACCAGGAGCUAAAGAGUGACUCUAUUGUAUCAGAAGGUUCUGUGCGUAUCCCUUACCACACAAAUGACAUCUACAAGAGGACAGCCAAGUUGCUAGGUCUUAUGGAUGACUUCCGGAGUGGAGUCCCUCGCACAGGUUACCGAGGUGUUGUGAGCUUCCUAUAUAAGGGACGCCGUGUUUACUUGGCACCAAAUGCAAAUUGGAAAGGCUAUGAUCCAGGAUGGAGCUAGCACCAGUUACCACAGAACAGCCUUCAUUAGUUGUGUACAUAUGUGAUUGUUGUGGCAGAUGUGCCAUGCUGACAUACAGGACGUGCCUGUUCCUUCCCCACAGAGCACUAAUGUGUAGUAAAAGGCAUCAGGAAUGUGGUUGAUUGCAAAAACGUGGAACUUUUUAAGAAGAGAAAGGAACAUUUGAGUUGCACCCAUUUCCUCUGUGAAGAAUUUGUGUUCCUGACCUCGUUGGAUUCUGAUGCACGUGUGGUGCUCUGAAUUGGGGAUGAUACCAGAGUGUGAUGCACAUUAACCAUCUCACAAUCAUGGUCUCACAAGCUCAUGUAAAUAAAAGUUCAGUUAGGUUUCUGUAAUUUUAAGCUGUAAAUAAGUUUAAUUAAAUGUCAAAGCACACAACAGUUUUCAUGCAUUGCUCACAGAGAGUAGCACUUCAUAAAUGACAAGUAUUUUGAGUUUCUUUCCUCUGAAUAUAUUAUAACUUGAAUGUGAGUGAGGAGUCAUCUUAUUUGAUAACUGUGGUUUGUUGGUGCAUAGUUCCCGCUGUAUGGGGAAAACAACAGUCUUCAAGAUAUUACAUUCUGCUGAUACCAUAGGAAGUGUGUGCUGAUUCUAAUAGAAUGUCUGCUUAUAACACUGUUGACUAUUUAUUGAAUGAAUAAGAGAUCACUAUUUCAGUAAUAUAAAAGAUACUUUUAUGGGACAUACUGCAUAUAUAUUCUGACAGCAGAGUUUCCAUGCACUUGCAUCUGAACAGUAUGAACACUGUAUGUAACAGGUCAUCCAGGUUAAAUGGUAACUGAACAUACAUAUGUUAUGAGGAGCCCGUCUAUCCCAUCGGCAAAGCUGUACAACUCUGUGAUGUUACAGAGUUUCCAGCAAUUCUGUUGUCAUGGACAGGCAAGUUAUUUACAGCAUUUUCAGACCAACUUUAAAUUCCUGCAGAUGCUCUUGUUUUAAUUGAAAUAUACAAAACUGGUCUGGGCAUUAUUGCAUGAAGUUCAGAUGGAUGUUGAUUUGUUUCAACACCAGUGAACUUUUGGAAAGCUGAGUGAAUUAGGUCUGAUGGAAAUAUCUGUCACUACAGGUACAAUUUAUAGUCUUCCUUUCUGUCUGCAGAAGCCAAUAACAUUGUUGCAUUGUACCAACCGAGUCAUAUGACCUUGUAUGGGAUGUGAAACACUUGGAUCAUGGCAUAAUCAUUUAAAAAGAAAUUAACUUAAUUACUUUCUCCUUGCUCAGCUUGCAGUUCACAAGUACAUGGUGCACCUUAGUUCAGUGAUGGCUUUAAGUGUUUUGUGCAAUGACAGAACCAGUGUGCACACUGGGUACAGUCUCUUAUGACAGUUAAGUCACAUAAGGCAGUAAUAUGUCGCAUAUUUCUAAUGGAAGUGAUUUAUAAAGUGAGUCUUCAGAAGAAACUGAAUAAUUAGAUGCUAUUUCCAGAUUGAAAGAAAGGGUGCAGUACCAUCUUGCAGUGUCUUUUUAAGUUGGGCAAACAAACGGUUUGUACUCCUGAGAACACGUCAUAUGUGAAAGUGCUGGUCUGAUCUGCUAUAAGCAUUCUCCUCCUUAUAAAAUAUUCCGGUGCGUAAGGCCGACAACCUUACCGUCGUAUUUGAGCCGAUUGUCUAGGUAGUGUGGGACCCUCAACGUCUGA